CCUACGGGAGGCAGCAGUGGGGAAUAUUGGACAAUGGGCGAAAGCCUGAUCCAGCCAUGCCGCGUGUGUGAAGAAGGCCUUCGGGUUGUAAAGCACUUUCAGUGGGGAAGAAAGCCUUGGGGCUAAUACCCUCGAGGAAGGACAUCACCCACAGAAGAAGCACCGGCUAACUCCGUGCCAGCAGCCGCGGUAAUACGGAGGGUGCGAGCGUUAAUCGGAAUUACUGGGCGUAAAGCGCGCGUAGGCGGUCUGAUAAGCCGGUUGUGAAAGCCCCGGGCUCAACCUGGGAACGGCAUCCGGAAAGGCAAGGGGAGAGAGCAGGAGGGGAGAGUAGAAUUCCGGGUGUAGGGGGGAAAUGGGUAGAGAUAGGGAGGAAAAGCGGUGGAGAAGGGGGCAUUAUGGACGGUAACUUACGCUGAGGAGAGAAAUGUGGGGUAGAGAAAAGGAUUAAAGAACCCAAUAGGG
rnacentral:rRNA from 1 species